GCCUACGGCCAUGCCACCCUGAACAUGCCCAAUCCCAUCUGAUCUCGGAAGCUAAGCAGGGUCGAGCCUGGUUAGUACUUGGAUGGGAGAUCACCUGGGAAUACCAGGUGCUGUAGGCU